rnacentral:tRNA from 1 species
GCGGGUAUAGUUUAGUGGUAAAAACCCCUAGCCUUCCAAGCUAACGAUGCG